rnacentral:misc_RNA from 1 species
CCGUGUGGAGGCGCACCAUACCUGCAGAAAGAGCAACCAUAUGAUCAUGUAUUCUGUACAGAAAAAAUCAUAUCUGAUAACCCCUUUGCCAUAUAACUAGAAAUAUGCAAGAAAGCUAAAGCUCAACACAACAACAUUGGUAAUACAUUAGCCAUUCUUGGCAUUCAUCAGGUAUCAAGAUAGUAGGUUUCAACAUCAAGCCUGCCCCUAAAAACUCACCAUUUCAUGAUACACACUAUAUUUUCAGAUUCACUCCUUAUUUAAAUAUAUUAGCCAUUCAAUGUUCAAUCACUACAUAAUUUUUUCCCUUGUUUCCCUCGUUAGUAAACAUUGACCCAACAUAUUGAAUAGCAGCACUAAACAUGUCAUGUAUGAAGCGGCAUAUCAAAAUAACCAUCAUCGCUUACAGUCAUAAAUCCAAGCAAGUAACUUUUGCUACAGAAGCCCGCUUCUGAAAUAUGAUGCAAAAUGUGUAGGAACUAUAAGUAUCAUACUUCAGCAUGCAUGCUAUGUUUUAUGGUCAAAACGAAAAAGUAUCAAGCAGAUAAAACAUCUCUGUAAACACAGUAAUUGUAGCUUGUACUAAUAAUUUUCAAUUGAGAUAAUGACAUUAGAGUACUUGAACUUUGAGUGAAUUUCUAUUUCAUUGGUUCAGCUUCAAUUUCUUGCAAGCCAGAGCAUGGACAAACAAAAUUAAUCUAAUCAAGUCCAUUAGGUAGUUUAGUCACUGGAAUGCUGAUGUGGACAUCAAGCUGAACCAUAAUCCCAAUUGGACAACCAUAGAGAAUUAAUUUAACCAAAUGACAAAUCCAUCCAACCAACAGAACACAAACGGUUAAGAAAGAAGUGAAUCUCCAUGCCUUUUCUUUUCAAAGAUUUAAUUUCACAGAAAAAAAAAAAGUUAUUGAAAAGCACAUAAUCUAACAAGCUGGCAGGACAACAGAUCUGCGAGAAUCAAGGGGAAAAAAUGCCUGAAAGAAUCAAUGUAUGUUGUUAUUGUAUUGACAUCAAUG